rnacentral:misc_RNA from 1 species
UCUUGCAGUCUCCAGGUAUGGCCUCCGACGGCAGCCUUAGUGUUUCGGUUUCCACAUCUCCUAAACAUGGAAACAGAGAUGCUGAGACGGUGACGUCGAGUUCGCCGAAAGGCCAGUGUUUGUGCUCGCCCACGGUGCAUCAAGGCUCCUUUAGGUGUCGGCUUCAUCGUUCGACAUCAUCGGCGUGGAUGAAACGUUCAAAAUCAAUGCCUGCCAACAACCCUGUGGCUUCUCUUUCGCCCAAAGAAUCACAUGGAUCUUCCUAAGGCCAUGGGGCGUGUGCAUGAAGCUGAAUACAUGUAACACACCUUAAACUUAUAUCCUCUUAAUUCUCUAAAGUUGUGGAGAAGAAAAGCUUUGAUUUUAUAUCUCAACUUUGUAUGGCAUGGAAUAUAUAUAAUAUGUUUGCCUUUGCGUGUUCGCG